GGAUCGAUAGCACAGUCGGUAAAGCAAUCGCCCGGCAAGCGAGAGAUCGUGGGUUCAUGUCCCACUCGAUCCA